AACGAACGCUGGCGGCAUGCCUAACACAUGCAAGUCGAGCGAGACCUUCGGGUCUGGUGGCGCCGGGGUGGUUAAGCCGUGGGAACCUGCCUUUAGGUUGGGAAAAAUUCCCCGAAGGGGGGGCAAAUACCGGAAAAGUCUUUGGGCCCAAGAUUUAUCGCCUUUGGAUGGGGCCGCGUUGGAUUAGCUAGUUGGUAGGGUAAAAGCCCAACAAGGCGACGAUCCAUAGCUGGUCUGAGAGGAUGAUCAGCCACACUGGGACUGAGACACGGCCCAGACUCCUACGGGAGGCAGCAGUGGGGAAUAUUGGACAAUGGGCGAAAGCCUGAUCCAGCAAUGCCGCGUGAGUGAUGAAGGCCUUAGGGUUGUAAAGCUCUUUUACCCGGGAUGAUAAUGACAGUACCGGGAGAAUAAGCUCCGGCUAACUCCGUG
rnacentral:rRNA from 1 species